rnacentral:rRNA from 1 species
AAUGAACGUUGGCGGCGUGGAUUAGGCAUGCAAGUCGUGCGGAAAGGCUCCUUCGGGAGUACUCGAGCGGCGAAAGGGAGAGUAACGCGUGGAUAUCUACCCCCUGGCCUGGGAUAGCGGCGGGAAACUGCCGGUAAUACCAGAUAAUGUCUGCGGACCAAAGGUGUGAUUCCGUCGGGGGAAGAGUUCGCGUCCUAUUAGCUAGUUGGUAGGGUAAUGGCCUACCAAGGCACAAAUGGGUACCGGGUGUGAGAGCAUGGCCCGGCGCACUGGGACUGAGACACUGCCCAGACACCUACGGGUGGCUGCAGUCGAGAAUCUUCGGCAAUGGGCGCAAGCCUGACCGAGCGACGCCGCGUGCGGGAUGAAGGCCUUCGGGUUGUAAACCGCUGUCAGAGGGGAGGAAAUGCGUAGGAGUUCUCUCUUACGUUUGACCUAUCCUCAGAGGAAGUACGGGCUAAGUUCGUGCCAGCCGCCGCAGUAAAAC